rnacentral:rRNA from 1 species
AUGAACCGCUUUCGCCGCUUCAUCACCGAUCAUGGGAUUUACGAUAUCUACAUGCAUAGAAGACGAUAUACUUGGUCCAAUGAGCAAGCGAACCCUACCCUUGUUCGCAACAAUCGUGUCCUUUGCACCCCUUCUUGGGAAACUACACACCCCCACGGCCUCUUGCGAUGCCUUUCUUCUGCGGCCUCUAACCACUGCCCUUUGCUCAUCGAUUGCGCCGUCUGCUUCGCCGGAGGCAGACGCUUUCACUUCCAAAGGUUCUGGCCGGGAUUAGAUGGAUUUCAGCAUGCCUUCGAGGAGGCCUGGGCUUCGGUAGCUCUGGACCCAGACCCCUUUCGGUGCUUCUUCGCGCGCUUAAAAGCCACAGCGUGCGGUCUUCAGAGAUGGAGCUCGCGGACCACUAACAGUAUCUACACUCAGCUUGGUGUUGCCAGAUAG